CUAUCUAACUAUCUGUACGUAUCUGUCUAUCUUUCUAUCUUUAUUAUCUAUACUUUUCGUUUUUAUCUAACGCACCGCACCACUCGUCGGCACAACACCCCCCCGAGUUUGAGAAGACCGUCGAUCGGCUGUCUGGUGGCGUCUACCGUAAUAUCGCGGUAAGGCGUUCGUCGGAUCAUCCAGGUUCGUUGGUCGAUCCCGAUUGCGAUUAGUAGAACGCGUUUCAUCUAGAGGAUAGAUGACGAUAGAUGAAAACGAUUUAAAAACAAUGAGGAAAAGAGCAUUUACUUUUGUUUAUUAUCGCGGUCUCGUUACCAGCGGAUUUGGAUACGGCGAAUGCUAUGAGGCAGAACGGUUGCGUGGGACUUGUUCGAUAAUACGCUCGAA
rnacentral:lncRNA from 1 species